UACGUAGGGGGCAAGCGUUGUCCGGAAUUAUUGGGCGUAAAGAGCGUGUAGGCGGCCAGGUAGGUCUGGUGUGAAAACUCGAGGCUUAACCUCGAGAUGUCAUCGGAAACCAUCUGGCUAGAGUCCGGAAGAGGAGAGUGGAAUUCCUGGUGUAGCGGUGAAAUGCGCAGAUAUCAGGAAGAACACCUAUGGCGAAGGCAGCUCUCUGGGACGGUACUGACGCUGAGACGCGAAAAGCGUGGGGAGCGAACAGG
rnacentral:rRNA from 1 species